GACGAACGCGGCGGCGUGCCUAAUACAUGCAAGUAGAACGCUGAAGCUUGGUGCUUGCACCGAGCGGAAGAGUUGCGAACGGGUGAGUAACGCGUAGGUAACCUGCCUGGUAGCGGGGGAUAACUAUUGGAAACGAUAGCUAAUACCGCAUGAUAUUGAUUAUUGCAUGAUAGUCAAUUAAAAGGUGCAAUUGCAUCACUACCAGAUGGACCUGCGUUGUAUUAGCUAGUUGGUGAGGUAACGGCUCACCAAGGCAACGAUACAUAGCCGACCUGAGAGGGUGAUCGGCCACACUGGGACUGAGACACGGCCCAGACUCCUACGGGAGGCAGCAGUAGGGAAUCUUCGGCAAUGGACGGAAGUCUGACCGAGCAACGCCGCGUGAGUGAAGAAGGUUUUCGGAUCGUAAAGCUCUGUUGUAAGAGAAGAACGACGUGUGAUGAGUGGAAA
rnacentral:rRNA from 1 species